AUUGAACGCUGGCGGCAGGCCUAACACAUGCAAGUCGAGCGAGAGGUGGACGGGUGAGUAAUGUAUGGGGAUCUGCCCGAUAGCGGGGGAUAACUACUGGAAACGGUGGCUAAUACCGCAUACGAUCGGAUGAACCCAUAUGGGAGUAGCUAGUAGGUGGGGUAACGGCUCACCUAGGCGACGAUCCCUAGCUGGUCUGAGAGGAUGAACAGCCACACUGGAACUGAGACAUGGCCCAUACUCCUACGGGAGGCAGCAGUGGGGAAUAUUGCACAAUGGGCGCAAGCCUGAUGCAGCCAUGCCGCGUGUAUGAAGAAGGCCUUAGGGUUGUAAAGUACUUUCAGCGUGGAGGCGUUACCCGCAGAAGAAGCACCGGCUAACUCCGUGCCAGCAGCCGCGGUAAUUC
rnacentral:rRNA from 1 species